AUUGAACGCUGGCGGCAGGCCUAACACAUGCAAGUCGAACGAGUGGCGGACGGGUGAGUCAUGUCUGGGAAACUGCCUGAUGGAGGGGGAUAACUACUGGAAACGGUAGCUAAUACCGCAUACCAUCGGAUGUGCCCAGAUGGGAUUAGCUUGUUGGUGGGGUAACGGUUCACCAAGGCGACGAUCCCUAGCUGGUCUGAGAGGAUGACCAGCCACACUGGAACUGAGACACGGUCCAGACUCCUACGGGAGGCAGCAGUGGGGAAUAUUGCACAAUGGGGGCAAGCCUGAUGCAGCCAUGCCGCGUGUAUGAAGAAGGCCUUCGGGUUGUAAAGUACUUUCAGCGGGGAGGCGUUACUCGCAGAAGAAGCACCGGCUAACUCCGUGCCAGCAGCCGCGGUAAUAC
rnacentral:rRNA from 1 species